rnacentral:rRNA from 1 species
GACGAACGCUGGCGGCGUGCUUAACACAUGCAAGUCGAGCGAGGCCCUUCUCUUCGGAGAGGGUGCCCUAGCGGCGAAUGGGUGAGUAACACGUGGGCAAUCUGCCCCUAGCACUGGGAUAACUCCGGGAAACCGGGGCUAAUACCGGAUAUGACCUUCGAAGGCAUCUUCGUUGGUGUAAAGGAUUCUGGCUAGGGAUGAGCCCGCCGGCCUAUCAGUCUUGUUGGUGAGGUAACCGGCCCACCAAGGCGACGACGGGUAGCCGGCCUGAGAGGCGACCGGCCACACUGGGACUGAGACACGGCCCAGACUCCUACGGGAGGCUGCAGUCGCGAAUCAUUCACAAUGGGCGCAA